rfam:Populus trichocarpa scaffold_16_contig_117, whole genome shotgun sequence.
UCUAAAACUCGAGAUAUGGGCUGAAUACUGAACAGUGUCUGGGCUGCAAGACAGAUUUCGACUUCUCUUUUGUUGCUACAAUUUAAAUUGGAAAACAGUCUUUUUGAAUCUUGGGCUCUUCAUGAAAGUUUUAGGCCUAUGUCUUAGCUUUCCAUU